rnacentral:rRNA from 1 species
UACGAAGGGGGCUAGCGUUGCUCGGAAUCACUGGGCGUAAAGCGCACGUAGGCGGCUUUCUAAGUCAGGGGUGAAAUCCUGGAGCUCAACUCCAGAACUGCCUUUGAUACUGGAGAGCUUGAGUCCGGAAGAGGUGAGUGGAACUCCGAGUGUAGAGGUGAAAUGCGUAGAUAUCUGGAAGAACACCGGUGGCGAAGGCGGUCAACUGGCCCUAAACUGACGCUCAGGCACGAAAGCGUGGGGAUCAAACAGG